rnacentral:rRNA from 1 species
GGGUUGUGAGGUUAAGCGACUAAGCGUACACGGUGGAUGCCCUGGCAGUCAGAGGCGAUGAAGGACGUGCUAAUCUGCGAUAAGCGUCGGUAAGGUGAUAUGAACCGUUAUAACCGGCGAUUUCCGAAUGGGGAAACCCAGUGUGAUUCGUCACACUAUCAUUAACUGAAUCCAUAGGUUAAUGAGGCGAACCGGGGGAACUGAAACAUCUAAGUACCCCGAGGAAAAGAAAUCAACCGAGAUUCCCCCAGUAGCGGCGAGCGAACGGGGAGCAGCCCAGAGCCUGAAUCAGUGUGUGUGUUAGUGGAAGCGUCUGGAAAGGCGCGCGAUACAGGGUGACAGCCCCGUACACAAAAAUGCACAUAUUGUGAGCUCGAUGAGUAGGGCGGGACACGUGGUAUCCUGUCUGAAUAUGGGGGGCCCAUCCUCCAAGGCUAAAUACUCCUGACUGACCGAUAGUGAACCAGUACCGUGAGGGAAAGGCGAAAAGAACCCCGGCGAGGGGAGUGAAAAAGAACCUGAAACCGUGUACGUACAAGCAGUGGGAGCACGCUUAGGCGUGUGACUGCGUACCUUUUGUAUAAUGGGUCAGCGACUUAUAUUCUGUAGCAAGGUUAACCGAAUAGGGGAGCCGAAGGGAAACCGAGUCUUAACUGGGCGUUAAGUUGCAGGGUAUAGACCCGAAACCCGGUGAUCUAGCCAUGGGCAGGUUGAAGGUUGGGUAACACUAACUGGAGGACCGAACCGACUAAUGUUGAAAAAUUAGCGGAUGACUUGUGGCUGGGGGUGAAAGGCCAAUCAAACCGGGAGAUAGCUGGUUCUCCCCGAAAGCUAUUUAGGUAGCGCCUCGUGAAUUCAUCUCCGGGGGUAGAGCACUGUUUCGGCAAGGGGGUCAUCCCGACUUACCAACCCGAUGCAAACUGCGAAUACCGGAGAAUGUUAUCACGGGAGACACACGGCGGGUGCUAACGUCCGUCGUGAAGAGGGAAACAACCCAGACCGCCAGCUAAGGUCCCAAAGUCAUGGUUAAGUGGGAAACGAUGUGGGAAGGCCCAGACAGCCAGGAUGUUGGCUUAGAAGCAGCCAUCAUUUAAAGAAAGCGUAAUAGCUCACUGGUCGAGUCGGCCUGCGCGGAAGAUGUAACGGGGCUAAACCAUGCACCGAAGCUGCGGCAGCGACGCUUAUGCGUUGUUGGGUAGGGGAGCGUUCUGUAAGCCUGCGAAGGUGUGCUGUGAGGCAUGCUGGAGGUAUCAGAAGUGCGAAUGCUGACAUAAGUAACGAUAAAGCGGGUGAAAAGCCCGCUCGCCGGAAGACCAAGGGUUCCUGUCCAACGUUAAUCGGGGCAGGGUGAGUCGACCCCUAAGGCGAGGCCGAAAGGCGUAGUCGAUGGGAAACAGGUUAAUAUUCCUGUACUUGGUGUUACUGCGAAGGGGGGGACGGAGAAGGCUAUGUUGGCCGGGCGACGGUUGUCCCGGUUUAAGCGUGUAGGCUGGUUUUCCAGGCAAAUCCGGAAAAUCAAGGCUGAGGCGUGAUGACGAGGCACUACGGUGCUGAAGCAACAAAUGCCCUGCUUCCAGGAAAAGCCUCUAAGCAUCAGGUAACAUCAAAUCGUACCCCAAACCGACACAGGUGGUCAGGUAGAGAAUACCAAGGCGCUUGAGAGAACUCGGGUGAAGGAACUAGGCAAAAUGGUGCCGUAACUUCGGGAGAAGGCACGCUGAUAUGUAGGUGAAGUCCCUUGCGGAUGGAGCUGAAAUCAGUCGAAGAUACCAGCUGGCUGCAACUGUUUAUUAAAAACACAGCACUGUGCAAACACGAAAGUGGACGUAUACGGUGUGACGCCUGCCCGGUGCCGGAAGGUUAAUUGAUGGGGUCAGCGCAAGCGAAGCUCUUGAUCGAAGCCCCGGUAAACGGCGGCCGUAACUAUAACGGUCCUAAGGUAGCGAAAUUCCUUGUCGGGUAAGUUCCGACCUGCACGAAUGGCGUAAUGAUGGCCAGGCUGUCUCCACCCGAGACUCAGUGAAAUUGAACUCGCUGUGAAGAUGCAGUGUACCCGCGGCAAGACGGAAAGACCCCGUGAACCUUUACUAUAGCUUGACACUGAACAUUGAGCCUUGAUGUGUAGGAUAGGUGGGAGGCUUUGAAGUGUGGACGCCAGUCUGCAUGGAGCCGGCCUUGAAAUACCACCCUUUAAUGUUUGAUGUUCUAACGUGGACCCGUGAUCCGGGUUGCGGACAGUGUCUGGUGGGUAGUUUGACUGGGGCGGUCUCCUCCUAAAGAGUAACGGAGGAGCACGAAGGUUGGCUAAUCCUGGUCGGACAUCAGGAGGUUAGUGCAAUGGCAUAAGCCAGCUUGACUGCGAGCGUGACGGCGCGAGCAGGUGCGAAAGCAGGUCAUAGUGAUCCGGUGGUUCUGAAUGGAAGGGCCAUCGCUCAACGGAUAAAAGGUACUCCGGGGAUAACAGGCUGAUACCGCCCAAGAGUUCAUAUCGACGGCGGUGUUUGGCACCUCGAUGUCGGCUCAUCACAUCCCGGGGCUGAAGUAGGUCCCAAGGGUAUGGCUGUUCGCCAUUUAAAGUGGUACGCGAGCUGGGUUUAGAACGUCGUGAGACAGUUCGGUCCCUAUCUGCCGUGGGCGCUGGAGAACUGAGGGGGGCUGCUCCUAGUACGAGAGGACCGGAGUGGACGCAUCACUGGUGUUCGGGUUGUCAUGCCAAUGGCACUGCCCGGUAGCUAAAUGCGGAAGAGAUAAGUGCUGAAAGCAUCUAAGCACGAAACUUGCCCCGAGAUGAGUUCUCCCUGACCCUUUAAGGGUCCUGAAGGAACGUUGAAGACGACGACGUUGAUAGGCCGGGUGUGUAAGCGCAGCGAUGCGUUGAGCUAACCGGUACUAAUGAACCGUGAGGCUUAACCUUACAACGCCGAAG